rnacentral:snRNA from 1 species
AUACUUACCUGGACGGGGUCUAUGGCCGAUCAAGAAGGGUCAUGUCCUAGGCUAGUGGCCCACAUUGCACUUGGUGGGUGCGCUGGCUUACCAUCUCCCCAAGUGGGAGAGUGGACGUCAUAAUUUGUGAUAGAGGGGGUACGCGUUCGCGCGGCCCCUG